GUCUGAUGUUGCGCACCUGUGGUAGGCGACAUAGCGCAGUCUAGGCAAGGUGAGUAAAUAAACGGUUUGAAGAAACUUCCCCUUAACUUUCUCAGCGCGCUUGUUUCUAUUCCGUGCGUAUGGUUCGCUAGGAGGACAGUCGCCAUGUUGGCAGCGCGGAGGGCUGUCGCCGCCAGGCUCGUUUUUAGGGGGGCGCCGAGCGCCGUCUCCUACGUGUCGGACCCGCCGCGGCCGCGCUCUCGCAGCCUGAGUACCGCGGCGGCGCUCCAGCAGCAGGACGUGCGGCUGCACGACAAGUGGGCCGCGUUGGCCCAGAAGCAGCUGAAAGGGAAGAACCCCCAGGAGCUGAUCUGGCGCACCCCCGAGGGCAUCUCCAUCAAGCCCGUGUACACCCGCGAUGACAGCGGCGAGGUGGCCGACGAGCUGCCGGGCGUGUUCCCCUUCACCAGGGGCCCCUACCCCACCAUGUACACGUACAGGCCCUGGACCAUCCGUCAGUACGCGGGCUUCAGCACCGUGGAGGAGAGCAACAAGUUCUAUAAAGACAAUAUCAAAGCUGGGCAGCAGGGCCUGUCUGUUGCAUUUGACCUGCCAACACAUCGUGGCUACGACUCGGACAACCCGAGGGUCCAUGGCGAUGUCGGCAUGGCAGGGGUGGCCAUCGACACAGUGGAGGACACAAAGAUGCUGUUUGAUGGGAUUCCCUUGGAGAAGAUGUCGGUAUCCAUGACCAUGAACGGAGCUGUGAUUCCCAUCCUGGCUAUGUUCAUUGUGACUGGGGAAGAGCAGGGUGUGCCUCCAGAAAAGCUGACGGGAACCAUCCAGAAUGACAUCCUCAAGGAGUUCAUGGUCCGAAACACCUACAUCUUCCCUCCUGACCCUUCCAUGCACGUCAUCGCUGACAUAUUUGCCUACACGUCUAAGCACAUGCCCAAGUUUAAUUCCAUCUCCAUCAGCGGGUACCAUUUGCAAGAAGCCGGUGCAGAUGCUAUCCUUGAACUGGCGUACACGAUUGCUAAUGGGCUGGAGUAUUGCCGGACUGGUGUAAAGGCUGGCCUCUCCAUUGAUGAGUUUGCCCCGAGGUUGUCUUUCUUCUGGGGAAUUGGUAUGAAUUUUUAUAUGGAAAUUGCCAAGAUGAGAGCUGGGCGACGACUUUGGGCAAAUUUGAUAAAGGAGAAGUUUCAGCCCAAGAACUCAAAGUCACUACUGCUGAGAGCUCAUUGCCAGACAUCGGGAUGGUCUUUAACAGAACAGGAUCCCUACAACAAUGUGAUCCGCACGGUCAUCGAGGCCAUGGCCGCUGUGUUCGGGGGGACCCAAUCCUUGCACAGCAACUCCUUUGACGAAGCUCUGGGUCUGCCCACAGUGAAGAGUGCCCGCAUUGCUCGCAACACCCAGAUUAUCAUCCAGGAGGAAUCGGGCAUCCCCAAGGUGGCCGACCCCUGGGGUGGCUCCUAUAUGAUGGAGUCUCUGACCACUGAAGUGUACAACAGUGCCCUAAAGUUUAUCAACGAGAUUGAAGAGAUGGGCGGUAUGGCUCGGGCCGUGGCCGAAGGGAUCCCCAAACUCCGUAUCGAGGAGUGCGCAGCCCGCAGACAGGCCCGAAUUGACUCAGGCUCAGAAGUCAUUGUAGGAGUAAACAAAUACCGUCUGGAGAAGGAGGAGUCUGUUGAAGUUCUGGCGAUUGACAACACUUCCGUGCGCAAUAAGCAAAUAGAGAAGCUGAAGAAGGUGCGGGAAAGCCGUGACAAUGAAGCUGUGAAGCGGUGUCUCGGAGCUAUUGAGGAGUGCGCCCGCACCGGCAGCGGUAACCUCCUGGCACUGGCGGUGGAUGCAGCUCGUGCAAGGUGCUCGGUUGGGGAGAUUACGGAUGCAAUGAAAAGUGUCUUUGGUGAACACAAGGCCAGCACGCGAAUGGUGAGUGGGGCGUACAGAAGUGAAUUUGGAGAGCACCAAGAAAUUGCCACUGUCCACAAUCGGGUUCUGCACUUUAAGAAACACGAGGGCCGUAAUCCUCGUCUCCUGGUUGCGAAAAUGGGACAAGAUGGCCACGACAGAGGUGCCAAGGUCAUUGCAACAGGCUUUGCAGACUUGGGGUUUGAUGUUGACAUUGGGCCACUUUUCCAGACCCCCCUCGAGGUGGCCCAGCAGGCAGUAGACGCCGAUGUGCACUGUGUGGGCAUCAGCACUCUCGCAGCUGGCCACAAGACCCUCGUUCCUGAGUUAAUCCAGGAGCUGAAGAACCUGAACCGUCCCGACAUCCUUGUCAUCUGCGGAGGAGUCAUCCCACCCCAGGACUACGAGUUUCUGUAUGAAAAGGGAGUUUGUAGCAUCUUCGGUCCAGGAACAAGAAUUCCUCAAGCAGCCAUCGAGGUCAUUGACAGCAUUGAGAAAAGUCUAGAGAAGAACCGACAUGCUAUGUAAUCAUCUAAGAAAGGGUGGCAAUAGAGAGAGUGCAUGAAAAGUCUUCAGUUUGAACUCUUUAUAGACUUUGUCUGUGACCAGCUAGGGAUAUGAAUUUCUGGUGUAUUGUAAUUAGGCCUUUUUAAGUUCCACAACUCUUGAUCCUUACCUCUCUGUGAAAAGGAAUUCGCUUAUUGAGCAAAUUUUUUCACAACACGAAAGUUCCUUUCCUCUCAUUCACUUUCCAAAUAAUAAAAUGUUGUCAUUAAAAAAUGUUCUGAAUGUUUUGUCACCUUUUUGGUUUCCUUAUUGACAAAAUUGUCUCAUGAGUAUUUCAGAGAAUGUAAUACUGUAUAGUAUCAGAUUCUUUAUUUCUGAAAACAUAUUUUAUGAUUGUUGCUAAUUUCAUUAUUUACAUUGUUUAUGAAAAUUUAUAUUCAGUGUAAUGUGUCUUUGAAGUAGAAUCUGUCUGAAAUGUUUCAUGGUCAAAUAAGUCAUGUUACUGAAACACUUAAAUGAUAUGACUUUACAAAUGUAACUGGGUAUAGUGAGCUGUGUAUCUGCCUGGGUACUACAGGUUUGCGAUGUGUGUCUGCUCAACAAACAGUUGAGACCCUGACUAAUCUAGUCUCUCACUUAUAUAUUGAUGGUAAAAUGUCAGUGUGUAGACCACUUACUAACAGUAAAAAGAUGCUGGAGAAUCAGACUGUGUUCCCUCUCUGUCCCUUAACUGAACUGCUACACUUAAGAUUCUUAGGAGACAAGACUUCCUCCAUAUUAUAAUUUUUUUUAUUCUGUAGUUGAUUAAAGCAAAAUUUUGAUUACUGUACUAUUAUAGUAUUUAAAUAUUUUCAGAUAUGACAAGUAGUUCAUUUAUAAUAUACUGAGGUAAUCACCAAGGUUUCUGUUGAGUUUAAUUUCAUGGAGGCCAAAUUCAAUUGUCCACCAAAAACUGAAGAGACAAAAUCACCACAGAAGCUUACUGCUAAGCUGCCUUUGAAAGGCUUUCAGAGGAUAAUCAAUACCCUUAAUAUUUGACUUAUGUAUGAUGAAAUGAUUUAAUAAUGUAUUUACCAUUUCUUGUGCAUUCAUAAUGGUGGCUUUAUUCUGCUUAAAAAACUAGUGAAAGAAUCUUUUAUACUGGAAGAUCAACCUAAAAACGUAUGAAUUCAUGACAAGAUAAAUUGUUGACUGUUUGAUUAAAUUCCCUAGAUUUCAAUAUUAUUUGCCAAUGAGGACAUUUUGCAAAUGCUUUCUGGUAUUGGCUUCAAUUUCUGAUAGCUAUGUGAUGUCACACUUCAUCCAUUUCCUUUUUUUAUUAUUUAUGCCUGACACAAUGGGAAGAAAAGUGCAACAUGUUACUGGAUUGUUGCAGCCUGAAGUACAGGGAUUUGUUUUAGUGCCAGUAUUUUUCUAGCCAUAAAAAUUGUUAUUGGAAAGAGCCUAUGAAUUUUAAAUGUUAGAAGAAGAAAGAAACUGAUAUUUUGGCUUUAAUGAAAAAUGACCUGAGUUCUGUUUGCAGAAGCCAAUACUGAUACUUUUUCGACUGCCCUUUCAUUUUAAUACUUCAACCACAUGGAAUGUCUUGAUUAUCAUUCCCCUGUAAAACACUUUUUGUAAUGGAAAAUACAAAUAGAAAAACCUGA